CUCUCCGUAGCUCAGUUGGCAGAGCAGCUGACUCUUAAUCAGCGGGUCGAAGGUUCGAGCCCUUCCGGGGAGA
rnacentral:tRNA from 2 species